UUCUCCAGAUGGUUCUGAGGAGAUCAGCCAGCAGACAUCAGGAGGUGCAUGAAGUAGUGAAGGAGAGGACAAUCCAGACCCAGAUGGUACCUGCUGAACUCAGGCUGACUGAAGUCCAGGAGAUGGAGAACAGAGCAGAACCUCCAGGAUCCAGCUGUCCGUCUAUGAGAAGUGACCGGUUCAAAGAAUACCAUCCAGACUUCAGUGAAGAACCUGGACCCUCAGAAGGGAGGAAGAGGAGCAGCGUUGGUGUGGAGGAGCAGAGGUCCUGCUGUGCUUUGUGUCAGAAGGUCCUGAUGGACCCGGUC